AUGAACGCUAGCUACAGGCUUAACACAUGCAAGUCGAGGGGCAGCAUUUUAGUUUGCUUGCAAACUAAAGAUGGCGACCGGCGCACGGGUGAGUAACACGUAUCCAACCUGCCGAUAACUCGGGGAUAGCCUUUCGAAAGAAAGAUUAAUAUCCGAUAGUAUAUUAAAACCGCAUGGUUUUACUAUUAAAGAAUUUCGGUUAUCGAUGGGGAUGCGUUCCAUUAGUUUGUUGGCGGGGUAACGGCCCACCAAGACUACGAUGGAUAGGGGUUCUGAGAGGAAGGUCCCCCACAUUGGAACUGAGACACGGUCCAAACUCCUACGGGAGGCAGCAGUGAGGAAUAUUGGUCAAUGGACGAGAGUCUGAACCAGCCAAGUAGCGUGAAGGAUGACUGCCCUAUGGGUUGUAAACUUCUUUUAUAUGGGAAUAAAGUAUUCCACGUGUGGAAUUUUGUAUGUACCAUAUGAAUAAGGAUCGGCUAACUCCGUGCCAGCAGCCGCGGUAAUACGGAGGAUCCGAGCGUUAUCCGGAUUUAUUGGGUUUAAAGGGAGCGUAGGUGGAUUGUUAAGUCAGUUGUGAAAGUUUGCGGCUCAACCGUAAAAUUGCAGUUGAAACUGGCAGUCUUGAGUACAGUAGAGGUGGGCGGAAUUCGUGGUGUAGCGGUGAAAUGCUUAGAUAUCACGAAGAACUCCGAUUGCGAAGGCAGCUCACUAGACUGCAACUGACACUGAUGCUCGAAAGUGUGGGUAUCAAACAGGAUUAGAUACCCUGGUAGUCCACACAGUAAACGAUGAAUACUCGCUGUUUGCGAUAUACAGUAAGCGGCCAAGCGAAAGCAUUAAGUAUUCCACCUGGGGAGUACGCCGGCAACGGUGAAACUCAAAGGAAUUGACGGGGGCCCGCACAAGCGGUGGAGCAUGUGGUUUAAUUCGAAGCAACGCGAAGAACCUUACCAGGUCUUGACAUCGAUCUAAAGGCUCCAGAGAUGGAGAGAUAGCUAUAGAGAAGACAGGUGGUGCAUGGUUGUCGUCAGCUCGUGCCGUGAGGUGUCGGCUUAAGUGCCAUAACGAGCGCAACCCUUAUCUUUAGUUACUAACAGGUCAUGCUGAGGACUCUAGAGAGACUGCCGUCGUAAGAUGUGAGGAAGGUGGGGAUGACGUCAAAUCAGCACGGCCCUUACGUCCGGGGCUACACACGUGUUACAAUGGGGGGUACAGAAGGCAGCUACCUGGCGACAGGAUGCUAAUCCCAAAAGCCUCUCUCAGUUCGGAUCGAAGUCUGCAACCCGACUUCGUGAAGCUGGAUUCGCUAGUAAUCGCGCAUCAGCCAUGGCGCGGUGAAUACGUUCCCGGGCCUUGUACACACCGCCCGUCAAGCCAUGAAAGCCGGGGGUACCUGAAGUACGUAACCGCAAGGAGCGUCCUAGGGUAAAACUGGUAAUUGGGGCU
rnacentral:rRNA from 1 species